CGGCCAGCAGCGUUUCGGGGC
rnacentral:miRNA from 1 species